rnacentral:rRNA from 1 species
GAUGAACGCUGGCGGCGUGCCUAAUACAUGCAAGUCGAACGCUGAAGCUUGGUGCUUGCACCGAGCGGAUGAGUUGCGCACGGGUGAGUAACGCGUAGGUAACCUGCCUCUUAGCGGGGGAUAACUAUUGGAAACGAUAGCUAAUACCGCAUAAAAGUCGAUAUCGCAUGAUAUUGAUUUGAAAGGUGCAAAUGCAUCACUAAGAGAUGGACCUGCGUUGUAUUAGCUAGUUGGUGAGGUAACGGCUCACCAAGGCGACGAUACAUAGCCGACCUGAGAGGGUGGUCGGCCACACUGGGACGGAGACACGGCCCAGACGCCUACGGGAGGCAGCAGUAGGGAAACUUCGGCAAUGAGGGCAAACCUGACCGAGCAACGCCGCGGGAGUGAAGAAGGUUUUCGGAUCGGAAAGCUCUGUUGUAAGAGAAGAAAGAGUGUGAGAGUGGAAAGUUCACACUGUGACGGUAACUGACCAGAAAGGGACGGCUAACUACGUG